AUGAGGUCCUCUGGGUCUCUUAACCAGUCGCAACGGUGAUACGCAAUGAGUGACAGGACUCUAUUUUUGGAAGAGUUUCUAUUUCUGCAACGUCACAGACAGUUGAGUACAAGAACAUACAGUGGGUCCAAUGACAAUGAAAAUAUAAGGCGGUUUUCAAGACAAGUCUGCCGGCAGGUCAUUUGCUCCGGAGGAGAACCAUUGAGCGCUAUUAAACCCACCUCAGGGACUCCAUUGAUGGGUAGCAGUGGAAAAGGCUCCAGCUGUUCGCUUUGAUCCGGGUCCAGCCCACCCUGAUGAAUUGACCCCAGUAGUACCAGCGCUGAUCUGUUCCUCCCCUGACAUUAGUGUGCUAUUUGAGGUUUUUCUCUUGAGUGUUCUUCUUCAUUUUCCUGGGUGGGAAUGACAUGACGAAUACAGGUGUUCAGCUGGAGAACCAGACAGGCGUUUGGUGCUUAGUGGCGCUCUAAACAUUCACAGUGAAGUGUAUGUGCAAAGCCUCUUGGGAAUGAGUGGAUGAGUCCAGACCAGUGCAAUCAGACGAGGUUGCCUUUCGAAGAACAUUUUACUUGCAUAAUCUUAUUACAGUGAAACAGGAUAUUUGAUGAGGGGAAAAAAAUGUAGAACGAGACAGAUUUGGCAAAAGUGGAGCAGGUGGUUGGACAGAAGAGAUUUAAUUAUCUGAACAUUUGAACCCUUUCACAUUAUUUUAAUGUAUCUUGACGUUUCUUUAUUUGCUUUUAGUUCACCCCCAAAAAUAAAAAAAUUGGCAGAAAAUGUAUUCAAACUAAGGCUAUCCAAGUUUCUAGUUUGUUUGUGGGAAAAGAUUGCUCACCAAUAGAUCCUCUGCAGUGAAUGGGUGCCAUCAGAAUGAGAGCCCAAACAGUGUUUUGUUUCACAAGACAUAAAAUGAUGGACUGGAUAUAUGUGGAUUACUUGUGGAUUAUUGAGAUGUUUUUAUCAGCUGUGUGGACUCUCAUUCUGAUGGCACCCAUUCACUGUAGAAGAUCCAUUGGUUAGCAAGUGAUGUAGUGCUACAUUUCUCUAAAUAUUUUCCCAUGAAAAAAAAAAAAAAAAAAA